UUGGCACCCAAAUGUCAUAUAGCCGGAACUGGGGCUUAUAAAGUUUACUGUUUUAUAACUUUUAAAAGGAAAGACGGCAUCCCUGUAAGCAGCCAGUAAAUGUGCAAAUCUCUAGUUGGGCUUUAGCUGCUCUGAGGAGUUUCCCAGUGGAGCUAGGAUGGGGGCUCAAGACAUCACUCUGGUCGGAAAACCGGACAAACGAAGCAGGCAACCAUCGGAGAACUCUGAAUUAACCGCGGCUCCCAGAAGCUCUGGCCUCUCUGACAGCUGUCGCUUCGGCAGCCCAAGAGACGAAUUGUCCUCCUUCCUGGUGCCAGAGGACGCAGGAAAUUAGCCAGGUUGCAAGUUGCAAAGCGGCGGCUGUUGCUCCAGGAACUGGACGCGCCCCACCUCCAGCGACAGCGGCCGGCCUGGGCCUGGCAGCGGCUUCCCCUCGCUCGCCAUCGCCGGACAAAGCGCAGCCCAGGCAGGCUGGGAAGGCAGAGCUCCGAAGCACGCAGGAUGGAGCGGAGCAAAAGAAUGCGGCUCUAUUCUCGCAAGGGAAAUUAUAAAAAAGUUCAUGUUCACGGUUCCUAUCCACAUGACCGACAGCGGCCAAUGGAAGGGCCGAACAACUCAUAAAGUUGUAUUGCAAAGUUGUAAAUUUUCAUAAACAACAACGGAUUUAUGACCC